rnacentral:tRNA from 1 species
GCCCAUUUGGUCUAGUGGUAUGAUUCGGCCUUCGGGUUACGUAAACCCAAGCAAAUAGCUUCAAAUUGGCCGAGGUCCCGUGUUCGAUCCACGGAAUGGGCC